GUUAAGGUGGCAGAGCCCGGUUACUGCAAAAGACCUAAGC
rnacentral:tRNA from 1 species